UACGGAGGGUGCGAGCGUUAAUCGGAAUUACUGGGCGUAAAGCGUCCGUAGGCGGCUUGUUAAGUCUGAUGUGAAAGCCCUGGGCUUAACCUGGGAACGGCAUUGGAUACUGGCGAGCUAGAGUUCGGUAGAGGGUGGUGGAAUUCCCGGUGUAGCGGUGAAAUGCGUAGAGAUCGGGAGGAACACCGGUGGCGAAGGCGGCCUCCUGGAACGAGACUGAUGCUCAGGGACGAAAGCGUGGCGAGCACACAGG
rnacentral:rRNA from 1 species